CUACGGGAGGCAGCAGUGGGGAAUAUUGGACAAUGGGCGCAAGCCUGAUCCAGCAACGCCGCGUGGAGGAAGAAGGUUUUCGGAUCGUAAACUCCUGUCAGGUGGGACGAAAAGCCGUCGGUGAAUAGCCGGCGGUCAUGACUGUACCAUCAGAGGAAGCCCCGGCUAACUCCGUGCCAGCAGCCGCGGUAAUACGGGGGGGGCGAGCGUUAUUCGGAAUUAUUGGGCGUAAAGGGCGCGUAGGCGGCAUGGCAAGUCAAAGGUGAAAUCCCUCGGCUCAACCGGGGAACUGCCUCUGAAACUGCCAAGCUCGAGGGCGGGAGGGGGUGGCGGAAUUCCCAGUGUAGCGGUGAAAUGCGUAGAUAUCGGGAGGAACGCCAAAAGCGAAAGCAGCCGGCUGGGUCGAGACUGACACUGAGGGACGAAAGCGUGGGUAGCGAACAGGAUUAGAAACCCGAGUAGUCC
rnacentral:rRNA from 1 species